UACGUAGGGCGCAAGCGUUAUCCGGAAUUAUUGGGCGUAAAGGGCUCGUAGGCGGUCCGUCACGUCGGGAGUGAAAUCCUGGGGCUUAACCCCAGAACUGCUUCCGAUACGGGCAGACUAGAGGUAGGUAGGGGAGAAUGGAACUCCUGGUGUAGCGGUGGAAUGCGCAGAUAUCAGGAGGAACACCAGUGGCGAAGGCGGUUCUCUGGGCCUUACCUGACGCUGAGGAGCGAAAGCGUGGGGAGCAAACAGG
rnacentral:rRNA from 1 species